UAGUCCCAAGGACCUCUCACCCCCACCCCCCAGGCUUCAGUUGAAAUGUGGCACAAUUUGCUGUUACUUUUGUUCCUCUGUUUCCUCCCUCAUCCCAAGUUUAGAAGCAGACACCGAAAUCAGGGCCCUAACACCCAUCACCCCCUUGGAAAAUGAGGCUGGUGAUAGGAGUGAUUGUGCUUCUCACUUUUGGUACUAGAUGUGACUCUAAGGUCACCCAGCCCAUCUUACAAGAAGUAACAGAAGGUCAAGAAGUGAAUUUGCCCUGUAGUCAUGAGGACAUUGCCACUAAUAUGAAUGUAUUCUGGUACCGACAGUUCCCCAAUCAGGGGCCACAAUUCCUCAUUCAAACUUAUAAAACCAACGUGACCAACCAAAUGAUCUCUUUGACCAUCUCUGCAGACAGAAAGUCUAGCACCCUGAGCCUUCCUCCAGUGACUUUGAGAGACAAUGCUGUGUAUUACUGUAUCGAGCAGAGUGCACAGUGUGAGAGAUGA